rnacentral:rRNA from 1 species
GGGUGCGAUCAUACUAGCGUUAAUGCACCGGAUCCCAUCAGAACCCCGCAGGUAAGCGCGCUUGGGCUAGAGUAGUACUGGGAUGGGUGACCUCCCGGGAAUUCCUGGUGUUGCACCCU